AAGUGGAACGCUUUGAUUACACCGGUGCUUGCACCAUCGUAAUCAAAGAGUCGCGAACGGGUGAGUAACGCGUGGGGAAUCUGCCUUGGAGCGGGGGACAACCUUUGGAAACGAAGGCUAAUACCGCAUAACAAUGAUUUGGACAUCCUUAUCAUUUGAAAGUAGCUAUUGCUACACUCCAAGAUGAUCCCGCGUUGGAUUAGCUAGUUGGUAGGGUAAAGGCCUACCAAGGCGAUGAUCCAUAGCCGACCUGAGAGGGUGAUCGGCCACAUUGGGACUGAGACACGGCCCAAACUCCUACGGGAGGCAGCAGUAGGGAAUCUUCGGCAAUGGGGGCAACCCUGACCGAGCAACGCCGCGUGAGUGAAGAAGGUUUUCGGAUCGUAAAACUCUGUUGGUAGGGAAGAACGUUGAGUAGAGUGGAAAAUUACUCAAGUGACGGUAUCUACCCAGAAAGGGACGGCUAACUACGUGCCAGCAGCCGCGGUAAUACGUAGGUCCCGAGCGUUGUCCGGAUUUAUUGGGCGUAAAGCGAGCGCAGGUGGUUAUUUAAGUCUGGUGUAAAAGGCAAUGGCUCAACCAUUGUAAGCAUUGGAAACUGGAUGACUUGAGUGCAGUAGAGGAGAGUGGAAUUCCAUGUGUAGCGGUGAAAUGCGUAGAUAUAUGGAGGAACACCGGAGGCGAAAGCGGCUCUCUGGACUGUAACUGACACUGAGGCUCGAAAGCGUGGGGAGCAAACAGGAUUAGAUACCCUGGUAGUCCACGCCGUAAACGAUGAGUGCUAGCUGUUUGGAGCUAUAAGUUCUAAGUAGCGCAGCUAACGCAUUAAGCACUCCGCCUGGGGAGUACGA
rnacentral:rRNA from 1 species